rnacentral:rRNA from 1 species
AACGAACGCUGGCGGCGUGGAUAAGACAUGCAAGUCGAACGGGAACUUCAGCUGUAGCAAUACAGUUGAAGUUUUAGUGGCGAACGGGUGCGUAACACGUGGGCAAUCUGCCGAGAAGUGGGGGAUAGCUCGCCGAAAGGCGAAUUAAUACCGCAUAUGAUCAGCUAAGACAUCUUAGCGACAUCAAAGCCGGGGCAACCUGGCGCUUUUUGAGGAGCCCGCGGCCUAUCAGCUAGUUGGUGAGGUAACGGCUCACCAAGGCUAUGACGGGUAGCUGGUCUGAGAGGACGACCAGUCACACUGGGAACUGAGACACGGUCCAGACACCUACGGGUGGCAGCAGUCGAGAAUUUUUCNCAAUGGGGGCAACCCUGAAGGAGCGACGCCGCGUGGAGGAUGAAGGCUUUCGGGUUGUAAACUCCUGUCAUUUGAGAACAAGGUGCAUCGGUUAACUGCCGGUGCAUUGAUAGUAUCAGAAGAGGAAGAGAC